UACGAAGGGGGCUAGCGUUGCUCGGAAUCACUGGGCGUAAAGGGUGCGUAGGCGGGUCUUUAAGUCCGGGGUGAAAUCCUGGAGCUCAACUCCAGAACUGCCUUUGAUACUGAAGAUCUUGAGUUCGGGAGAGGUGAGUGGAACUGCGAGUGUAGAGGUGAAAUUCGUAGAUAUUCGCAAGAACACCAGUGGCGAAGGCGGCUCACUGGCCCGAUACUGACGCUGAGGCGCGAAAGCUAGGGGAGCAAACGGG
rnacentral:rRNA from 1 species